rnacentral:rRNA from 1 species
GAUGAACGCUGGCGGCGUGCUUAACACAUGCAAGUCGAACGCAGUAGCAAUACUGAGUGGCAAACGGGUGAGUAUAAUGUGGGAAUCUGCCUUUUGGUUUGGAAUAACACGGGGAAACUUGUGCUAAUACCGAAUAAGCCCUUACGGGGAAAGUUUUAACGCCGAAAGAUGAGCCUGCACUUGAUUAGCUAGUUGGUAAGGUAAAGGCUUACCAAGGCAACGAUCAAUAGCUGUUCUUAGAGGAAGACCAGCCACAUUGGGACUGAGACACGGCCCAGACUCCUACGGGAGGCAGCAGUGGGGAAUCUUGCACAAUGGGGGAAACCCUGAUGCAGCGAUGCCGCGUGAGUGAAGAAGGCCCUUGGGUUGUAAAACUCUUUCGUCGGGGAAGAAAAUGACUGUACCCGAAUAAGAAGGUCCGGCUAACUUCG